AGGUUCAAAAAAACUAUCAUAAUGGAGGUACUGGAGGACUGAUUUGGAGAUUGGAGCUCAAGAGAAAGGAAACUCCAGAUCUGAAUAACAUACAGAUCUUCCUUGAGGAACGUCCUGAUACACCACUGAGCAGAAAUAAUAACACACACUGAAAUAGAAGAUCACACUUGUCAGAAGCAGAUAAAGUAGAGAGAUCAUCAAAUUAUCUUCCAUAGUCCCAACAAAGGCCGACCAGCCAUCAAAGAAAACCACCACUCCC